rnacentral:rRNA from 1 species
GAUGAACGCUGGCGGCGUGCCUAAUACAUGCAAGUCGAACGCGAGAGGAGGGAGCUUGCUCCCUCUGAUCGAGUGGCGGACGGGUGAGUAACACGUAGGCAACCUGCCCAUCAGCCGGGGAUAACUGCGGGAAACCGUGGCUAAUACCGGAUAAUCCUCUCCACCGCGGGGUGGGGAGUUGAAAGACGGUUUCGGCUGUCGCUGAUGGAUGGGCCUGCGGCGCAUUAGCUGGUUGGCGGGGUAACGGCCCACCAAGGCAACCAUGCGUAGCCGACCUGUAGGGGUGAGCGGCCACACUGGGACUGAGACACGGCCCAGACUCCUACGGGAGGCAGCAGUAGGGAAUCUUCCGCAAUGGACGCAAGUCUGACGGAGCAACGCCGCGUGAGUGAAGAAGGGUUCCGGCUCGUAAAACUCUGUUGUUAAGGAAGAACGCCAGGUAGAGUAACUGCUACCUGUGUGACGGUACUUAACCAGAAAGCCACGGCUAACUACGUGCCAGCCGCCGCCGUAA